GUGUGUCUAGGAAGCCCUCCCUCCUGACCCCCAAGGACCCUGCGUGGACUGACCCUCCAGUGCAGCUCUGAUGUCGGCUACCACAGAUUCGCUGUGUACUAGGAGGGGGCACGUGACUUCCUCCAGCGCCCUGGCCAGCAGCCCGAGGCUGGGCUCUCCCAGGCCAACUUCCCCCUGGGCCCUGUGAGCCGCUCCCAAGGGGGCCAAUACAGAUGCUACGUAUGGUGCACACAACCUCUCCUCCGAGUGCUCGGCCCCCAGGGACCCCCUGGACAUCCUGAUCGCAG
rnacentral:lncRNA from 1 species